UCUGCUGGGGCUUUGUGGAAGCAUAUUAUUUGAGCUAUGUGUAUCUCAUUAUUGAGAGAAGUUUGUCUGCUGCUCUGGGUUGUAGGCUUGGAGACUACCUCUUCACAGCUCACAUGGGCAGAUUUCCUAUUCCUCUUGUCCUUAGGAAUACUUCGUAAGACAGAAUGAUGACUGUCCAGGUUUUUCAGAGCCCUGCGCAGUGGGGAGAGCCUGCCUUGUCUUUUUGCUACCAUUGUACGCAGGACUGCUUUGUCUCAGCCGACAGAACCAGCAAGUCAGAAAGGAAGGGAGACUUUUGGAUCAGAACAGAUGAUUGAAAUGGAGACUGGAAACGCCUGAUCAUGUUGAAAGACACCAGAUCCGACUCUGGAAAUAACUAGCACAAAAUCAGAUUCCAUAAUCAUGAAAGAAACACCUGUGGGGCGCCAAGCAUCUCUCUUUGCAGAUAUAAGAUCACCGCCCUGGAGCAAGAAGGGGAGAAGGCCACCUUUACUGGGUCCUGUAUAGGGCACUGCCUUGGCUGAUGCUUCCUUCCCGCUCUGUGAGACAGAGUAUCAGACCCCACAAGAAGCUGCAUAACCCCCCUCCCCCCGCUUUCUCGGAGCCUGGGUCCACCCAGGUCUGACUGACUCCAAAGCAAGACUUGUUUACAGCAUGGAUAUGAUCCAAUGGGUGGGAGAGACCGGUCAACAUUGAAAUCCAGAUGCAAUAAUAAAGCCUCAACCAAGCGCUGCAGGCAGCUGGAGAAGGAGGCGACGCAACAAUAUGGAUGGUCACAGAGGCCACCCCUCAUCUCCAAUAUCCUUUUCCAAAACAAGUAUGAGCGGCUCUACAAGCUUAUGGGAGCUAUACAUAAGCUGCUUAGAGAGCCGCUCAUACUACUGGGCACCGAGGACUCUAAUUACUCGGCAAGUAUUUCCCCCUGCACUCUAAACAGUUAAGUAUUUUGUGUCCAUUUUACAAACAAGAGAGAGAAAACGCAUGAAAUAAAUGAUUCCUCGAGCCACACACCCUUCCAAGUGUUUGACGUACAUUAACAUCUCAAAGCCACCUUGCGAGUUAGGCAUUAUUGGAUUCAUUCCCAUUUUACAGAUGAGGCAGUGAGCCACCGGGAUGAGUGACCAGGGUGAGGUCACGUAGCUGGAGAGCGGAGGGCCAGUUGCUGACCUAGGAUGGCUGUCCUGAUCCUGGAUCACUGAAUUGCACUGCCUCCAGCAAAAGCAAUUAAGGCUGGUCGGAGUGAACCAUCCCAGACCGUGGGCAGGGUGGAGGUUAUAAACAUUGACCAAAAACCCUGUGACGAAAUGGGUGAAGUAUUUAUUCCUUUCAAUACAACCUAUCCGGACGCUUUCCUUUUCUCAUGAUGCAUGUACAAAAUCCGAGUUGGUGCCCACAAAAUUUGCCUCCUACCCUCAGAUAGGCAUACAGUAAAAUACAGACAUGGUUCCAGCGAAAUCUACGCUUGUACGUAUCACAUUUAAUGUGCUUCUGAAUUGUAGAUAAAUUUAUCAUCUAGCAUUUUGAUGCCAAUAAGCCAAUUCAUAUGAAAGAGCCUUGCAAAAAGAAAAAAAUUAUUCUUGAAGCUUCAGGAAGAGACUUACAAGUAAUAAUCAAAUAUCAGAGGAAGGUAUAAAAUGAUUUGGGGUGAAGUUAUACAUGAUAGCAUUCGCUCAAAACAUUUGAGAUAGUAAACUUUUCCAUCCUUGAGUGAUUUCUGAAUUUCUCGUUCAGUGCUACUCAGUUUUCUCAAUCAACGUUGGGGGCUGGCCCAGCAUCCUUUGCAGUUUCCAGAGCAUGUGAUGAUGUUCUAUUUCCUUUUCCACCAAACAGAAACCACGGUCUUCUACCUCUUUCCCACGAAGCCCCUCAGACUGAGACACCACGGAGGUCACCACUCGCCUUCAGGAGCUGGCUGGUCACUAGCUCCUGCAUGCCCUCUGCCCUUGAGGGUCGUGUACAGAACCUUCCCAAUAAGAGCACAGUGUCCCUCUGUUCACAUAUGGCUGGGGGUUGUAAUAUAUACAUUUUAAUGCAUAUUUGCUGAGCUACCACUAUGUACCCAGCACUGUGCACUCCUUGUCUCUCCCUGGAGCAUGCAUGGAGAUUUCAGAGCAGUCCUCUCUCUGAAUACGGAGCGAGAGAGAGACCCUCACUGGCCUGAGGCUCCCUUAAGGCUUAUGUGACAAUGCACCUGCUGAAAAUGCAAGCAGGAGCCCUGAACUACAUCUAAGCCACUUUACUUUCCUACACAAUGAUGCUCUCUACCUGGGUUCCGAGAAGCAGACACAGAGAUAGAGUUUAUGGUGUGUGUGUGUUGGGCGGAGGGCGGGGGGGAGGAGGGGGGAGUGGUCUAAAGGGACCAACAGGUGGAAAGGAAGGGAAUAAAGCCAGACUAGGCGGACAGAGAGGCUGGGCUGCCUUGAAGUGUCUACAAAGUCCCAGCUGACCUCAGGAGCUCUGGAGCUAGAGUAGCCCUUCAAAGUUGUCCCCAAAUGGAGCAAGGCAGUCAGGCUUUUUAUCCUCUACAUCAGCUGACCGAUGAUAAGGGAUGUCCCAGGAAGAGGCGUGACCUGGGACAAAGCAGCACUCUGCAGCCAAGGAGACUUCAGGAGAGGGUGACAGUUGAGCACCGUUCUGCCCAGCUGGCAAAAUGACGGAUGUGGGCAGGACAGGAUAAUGUCCACGAGACUCUCCGUAUCUUAAACCUAGAAUCCCGUUCUAUCCAUGUCAUUUAAUGGGAAGCAAAUGAGUCCAAAGAACUAGCAUUUCUCAGAUGCAUCAAGUUCGUGUCCGCGCACGAUAGGAAUCACUCCUACCAUGCCCCGGACAGCAGGUCACCUAGCUUCCAUUUGGACACUUCUAGGAACAGGAGCUCAUUGUUGGGGAGCUUUAGUUGUUACACGGUUUUUCCCAACGUUGAGCCAAAUCUUCCAGGUAGAAAUUGCUCUUUAAUAAUAGCCAUCGUAUUGACAAGUUAUUGGCCAGGUAGCAAAACUAGGAAAGAAUAGCGCGUUUGUGCAAAUCCAUUUGGACCAAGGACUGAAAUAAUGGAGUAGAUAUUUAUUCCUUUUUUGAAAAAAAAACUAUUCUACGGGCUCUUCUCCACCGAAGAGUCAGAGUGAUCUUUUUUUAAACAAAGAUCAGAUCAGUCAUAGGCUAUGCUCAAACUCCUUUACUUGGAAUGUAGCCCACAGGCCUCGUCCUGGCCUACAAGUCCCCUCCUUUCCGGAGCCUGACCCUGGCGCGGCCCUCGCCUCCUCCCUAACACCCUGGAUUCAGCCACUUUGCUCUUUUUACUGUUCUGCAGACACUCCCAUGUCAUUCUGCUUCAGGCCUUUGUACUUGCCGGGACGUCUGCCCUUAACGCGCAUCCUCCAGACUUUUGCAAGGCUUCAUUCAAAUGCCAACUUCUCAGAAAGGCUUCCUGACACACCCCUUCUCAGAAGAGCUCCUCACCCUCGCGACCCCCUCAUUCUGCUUGCUUUCUCUUCAUAGCCCUCGCUAAUUCCUAGUGCGUUGUGUUGAAGUUUUGUUCGGGCACUACAUCUCUACGCUCCUAAAACAGCUCCUGGCACAUAGGAGCAUUAAGUAAAUAUUUGUUGAGUGAGAACGCAAAUAAAUAAAUCAGUGCACAAACAGAACCUUGCCCAAAAGUUACGGGUAGCGCCGUUGGGAAGUUACUGAAAUGCUCGAGGUGGGGCUCAGAAUAAACCUCAACCGAAAGAAAACCAUUUAAUAAAGGGAAAUCCAAACGUUUAUUCUCCUGAGUCACAAUCAAAGAGAAGAGAAUUUCUAUCGCACUUCAUAUAUAGGCACCAUACUGUCAAUUCCUGGAGGGCAGGGACCAGGUUUCAUUCUUCUUUUAUCCCCUGAAGCUCCUAGCCUGGUAACCUUGAGUGCAUUAGGCACCCUCUAAAUGUCUGUUGAACAUAAUCAAUUUAGCAUAUCAAUCAACCUGGCCACUAAAACCAAGACUUUGGUCACCUGAUGCUGUCAUGGGGGAACGGAGAAGGCUAGCCUGUUUCAAGCAUCAUUACAUUUUUUUCUUCAGCAUCUUUAAGAGCAUUAGACCGGUGCACCAAGUUUCUUCACUGUGUCUGUAGACGUAGUUAGGAAAAAAAACAUUCAAGAUUGCAUUGCCAUUUAAGAGAGUUUGCUAACGUUCCGUAGAAUGAAAGCCCCAUUCAGUGGAACUCGGAAGGGCCAGCCCGUAAACAACAUUUACGGAGUGGGCUCUGUGCUCAGCCCCACGGUGGUCAGAGCUGCGUUCUUAAUGACCCGGAGGAAUGCCCAGGACAUACUCUGCUGUUGAAGGGAAGUUGUGUGGGGAGUUUGGCUGGGUUCCUUGAUUUUAGUUUGGUAAACCACCCAUUCUGCCUCCUUAGGAGAAAUUGGUACAGCGUCCUGAGGCAAAUAAAUGACUGACCCUGAGUCUCCCCUUUGAGGACUCAUGCUUUCCCGGGAAGGCCAGAAGAAGCAAGUCCUUCGGCCCUGCCUAGACCCCUCCCGCCACGACGUGGGUAUGUGUUGGCAAUGAGGGUAGCUGGUCGAUAGUGGUAGGAGACUCAUUUAGCAGAGAGGUACUAAAGCAAACAUGCAAACAUGAACCAAG